rnacentral:rRNA from 1 species
UACGAAGGGGGCUAGCGUUGUUCGGAAUUACUGGGCGUAAAGCGUGCGCAGGCAGCUUCUCAAGUCAGGGGUGAAAGCCCAGAGCUUAACUCUGGAAUUGCCUUUGAGACUGAGAGGCUUGAGUACGGGAGAGGUGAGUGGAAUUCCCAGUGUAGAGGUGAAAUUCGUAGAUAUUGGGAAGAACACCGGUGGCGAAGGCGGCUCACUGGCCCGUAACUGACGCUCAUGCACGACAGCGUGGGGAUCAAACAGG